AGGAAGAUACGCAAAUAACAGAAACUGGAUGCCUUCAUGGCUCCUCGGUAUUCCAUUAUAUAUGGGAGGUGUACAACAUGAUUAGAGUUUAAUCUACAACCGUGUGGACAAUCCCAACACGUUACGACUUUCUAAGGACAGAGUUACAACUUACUAAGAAUAGAUAUUCUAACAGGCCUUAUGAUGAAAAAAUUCGAUUCGUAGUUGGUGGAAUUAGGGAGAACUAGCUAUAGAGAGUCAUUUUUGUCAUGCCAUUCAGCCAUUGUCACAAAUUCAUAUCAUGACAAAUUUUCAUGAUUUGUGAUAAAACUAUAGUCAUUAGUUAGCAGAGUUCUUGUCGUGCUUUCUGUCGAUUUGCGAUUCAGUGAUUGUACCAUGUCAACGAUAAGGGCACAACCCGGUAUUUUCACAACGGCAAGCUCGCGCGUUGCUUAUCGUCCGGCCAAGAGCUCUUCAAGAUUCGGGUAAAAAAAGCAGCCCUUUGUCCCAUCUCUUUUUCUAUCUCUGCUACAACAUUCCUGGGUUUCACUUCUUUCUCAACCGUGAUUCCCCUUACCCAACUUGUCGCCAUUCUCAUUUCCUUCUCUGUUCUGUUCGUAGCCUACUGGCCCCUCUCUGUCCGCUGUCAUCUUCAACCUCUGUCUCUCUCUCUUUGCCCACUCCAUCUUCAACCUCCGUCUCUUCAACCUCUCUGUCCAUCGUCAUCUUCAACCGCCGUCAUCUUCAACCUCCGUCUCUUCAACCACCGGUGCAUUCAACCUUUCCAUCUCUACCCUCGCCCUUCAGUCUCUCUCUUCGUAUCUCUCUCUGUUGCACUCUCGCCCUUCAGAUCUGAUUCCUAGAUCUCUCUCACUCUGUCUCUUCAAUCCGUGAUGCAUAUGUCUUGAUUAUUUUCACUUCUCUUCGCAAACGACAAUCGUCCUCUCCUCUCGGUGGUCACAUUGUUAGAUCUGGUUUCCUCACAUAUAGUGACCAUGAGUGACUCAGAAGAAGGAAAUCUUGAAGAUGCUUCUUGCAGAAAAUGGUGCUUACUUCUUAGGACCCACCACAUCUGCACAUAAUACCGUAUUCCCAGGUUGCUCGAGAAGACUUAAAAGGUAUGCAGAAUUCAGUAUCUUCCAUUUAUUGACAGUCCCUCCCCUCCAGCUUAUGAAUAUUUAUUUCCAUCCGUGUAUCUCUUAUGUAGGAUGCUGUUAUUACUUGCAUGACUAGUCAUCAUUUAGCAAGUACAUUUGUUUAUUUCACUGAACUGUAAUAGAACUGCAUCCAGUGAUGCUAACUUGAGCUUACAAAAAAUAAAAUAAAAAAUUAUAUAUGCUUGGUUCAUUGGGACUUUCAGGUGCUUUACUUAUUAUGCUGCUUCUGUUGGUUGUAGACUUGCAAUUAGGCGAAUUCAAAGACCGCAUAUCUGAUCUAUAAUAUAUCUUUAGGGUUACUAACUUUCUGCAAUAGUUAGUAGUUUCCAUGUCUUUUGGUUCCUGACAACUAUAGUUGUUAUUACUUCUUUGCUACUGAUGUCAGUGUCAGUUUUCAGUUUAGUUAUCUUCUAAUGUUUUUUUAUUAGAUUCUUAGUAAUACCCGGACCUUAAAUUUCAGUAGAUUUUUAAGGGUGCAGACACAUUGACAAUUAGAAUUAUUCAAACUGAUGUGCUUAGAUUUUACUAGAUUCUACACUGAAGUGUUAAAACUAGUGGUUCUCACUAAUUCUAAUUCUUCUAGAUAAUCUUGACAAUUAAUUACUAUUACAUUACCCAGAAAAGAUAUAUGUUAAAACUAUGUUGUCCUGCAUUGUACCUCCUAAACAAAACAAACAGACCUAUGCUCAAUCUUUAUCAUACAAUCAGAUCUAUCUUUAUGAGACAAUCAGACCUCUGCUUAAUUUGGAUCCCUCUCUACAGGAUAAUUCUGCUAACAGGAUUUGCAUUUUCUUGAUUUUGCACAGGAUUUGGAUUUUUGCUUUGCUCUACCUUCGGAUCUAUCCCCUCCUUGAUUUUGCUUCGUAUUCCUGUUAUGCUUUCCCUGUGGAUCCACCCUCAUCUCUUGAUUUUGUGAAAGUACUCUGCUCCUCCCUCCGUAUGUACCCCACCACUUGAUUUUGUGUUGGAUUUCUAAAGACAAUGUUUUUUUGUUCCCAUCCUUUUAUGCCUGCGAUGAAUCUAUGCACAUCUUUUUUAGUGAGGAAAAAGAUAUAAGUUGAUGAUCAGUUCUAGUGAGGUACUAGGCAAUCUGUCAUUCCUUCCUGCUAAUCCAUUUAUAUGUACUUAGUGCCCUUAGUUUACCACAACGUUAUGUGCGCGCAUUCCCUACUUCAAGAUUCGUGCUGGUCAAAACCUCCCCAGAUCCCUAGAUGCUCCUAGAACAUGAUCAAGUGAUGAAAUAUAGUAUUCUGAGGCCUAACAAAUUUAUAGGUUUCUACUAUUGCCAACCUCUGCUGUUAUAAGUUUGUGUUGGCGCUCAACUUCUCAAUGUUUUAUGUCAAUUUUCUUUUAUAUAUACAACUGUGUAAUGUUAUUUUAAUUUAGUUUUGGAUCUGUUCUAUCCUUGUUUUAGUUGGAUCUGUGUAAUGUCAUUUGUCUUCUAGUGUUGUCUAGUGCUUGAUGGUGAUCUUUUUCAUCCCAACUAUGCCAAUGUCUGGUGUACUGUCAUUUGUCUUCUAGUGCUUGAUGGUAAUCUUUUUGUUUGAAAAUUUUAUUUCUUCAUCAGGUAAGUGGCCAAUGAUGAAAAAUUCCCAAUUUAGUGAUAAAAAAGUGAUCUUGUUCUUGUGAGGGACUGGGUACUUCUAGUUUUCUAGUGUUGUUCUUACUACAAAACAGGGCCGUUGCGGUCUUGUCCAUUCGGAUGACAACCCGGUUUUUUUAGAACGGCAUACACGUGCGUGCCUUAUCCUCCGGUUGCAGCUUCUCCAAGCUUCAACCCCUCAUGUUCACCCAUCUUGCAAUUUCUCUCUAUGGCCCUUAAGCUCCAAGAACAAGAUCAUAUGAACAUAUAGGACCAGUUCUGAGGCCACUAUUUGUCAUAAUUUUAAUGUUUUCCUGUUUUCAACAAUAUUGGUAACUAAUUAUUUAUUGUGCUAAUGAAGGGACUCCAUGUUAAUACUGGAUAUUUAUUUGACCUUUUUGUUAGUAAUUGUUUUCUUCACCAGUUAAGUAAGUGGCCAGUGAAGCGAAAAUCCCAAUUUACUGGUGAAAAUGUGAUCUUAUUCUUGUGCGGGACCGGGUACUUACCGUUUUCUAAUGUUGUUCUUCUUACUACCAAAUAGACCUUAUGUUUUAUUGUGUUGUUGUUCUUUUUCACCUUGAUGCCUUUUCAUGCUAUUGCAAUUUCUGUCUAUAGCCCUUAAGCUCCAAAAACAAGAUCAUAUCAAUAUUCUAUUUAAUGACCUCAUGGCGCAAAUAUACAGUCAUGCAAUUUAGCAAUGUGUUAUUCCAUGAGAGUACAAUUAGUUUAUAGAACUUCCUUAAUCUUGUUCUAAGUUGUGAGAAUAUACAGUCAUGGCGCAAAUAUACAGUCAUGUAAAUAUAGUAUUAUACAGUCUCUGGCUUCUAAGUUGUGAGAAUAUAGCCACUAUUCUACAAAUUGUGCCCCAUUGUACUUUUGUUGAUAUACUUUCAUUUCGCAUAUCUAGAACUUUUAGGUAAUGACCAAAAUCCAUUAAAGGGCAUCUUAUAUCACUUUUGCCUGAAUCACUAUGCUGUUCAAAGAUCAGAUUUCUGCCUGAAUCAGACCAUCCAUGUUUAUAGCUUCAACUUAUGGUCACCACUGUUAUAGGGUUCUUUUGUGAUCAAACUUUAAAGUCCAUAGUUUAUAUUGCAUUGUUGUUUUGCUAGAGUCAUCUAACAGAUAGUUGGCUGCGUAUCAUACUUUUUUUUUCACUGUAUGUCAAACAUGGAUCUAAUGGUCACAGCCAUGACCUUGGAUGUGUAUCUAUUUUUUUGUUUACUCUUUUCUUAUGAUUGGUGUACGUGGUUCUUGUGUGAUGCAUAGCCAGAUCCUCUUCAGAGUUCAUUCAGAGAUACAAUACUACUUCUGCAGUGCAUACGCUUUAAAGAUAAGACACUUUACUGGUAGUGUAUGGAACUUAAGAGAGAAAAUAUUCUGUUGUAGUACUUCACACACUUAACAUGAUAUAUCUAGUGGUCAGUGAGGACUCAUUAGUUC